UACUGUGAUCUGGGAGCAGGUGACCCUGCUUCUAACAAAUUGUCAAGUCACUAGUAACCUGAUGCUACCUCAUAAUGCCUGUAUCAUUCGCUUUGCACUUCAUCUCAUCACACAGCCAUUUUAUCAUCUCCCUUCACCACAAGAAGAUGAGGACUUGAAUGCAGCGAUCAUGUAAAUUAGAGAAAGGAGACAAAAAUAACUUCUGAAAUAUUCUUCUCAUGUGAUAUUUAUUCUGGAUGAAGCACUAAGAUCGCUCAUAGAGGUGUAUCACUGUAAUUUGCUGCCAGAAGUGUUUUCUUCCAAAAGGCUUUCCUGUGGAGAAUGUGUUUGCCACACCUCUCAGCAGAACCACCAUAAUUGAAUGAACAGAUCAUCUCGCACACCCAGAAUUCUGAGUUUGCACCUCGUUUUGGUGACAGUUGAAUGACACCGUGCCAUAGUCCGUGACCGUUUGUAGUAAGCAAGGAAAUGCUAUUAGAACACCCAUGUUCA